AAUUUUAAACAAUCUACUAGAUAACCAAGUGAAGAUAGGGUGAUACCUUGCUUGGAUUGUGUACAUAAUUCCCGUUGCGCUUGUUGUGAGAUAUUGCAGGAAGAUAAGUAACUCUCUUUUCGGGCAAUCGGAAGAGGUCAUGAAGUGAAAGAAGAUUGAGGGUGUACGCAGUAUGAAGAUUGUGCGUAGUUAGACCAUUAUCAGACGGUGGCGGUGACAAUAGACGCUCUCAGUGAGAGAAUAAUCUGGCAAGGCCUUAUGUAGCAGUAAGAACCAACCCAGAAACGCUAAAAUAAACCGUUUUGCACUUGAGGCCGAGCAAUCGGCCAAUAACACCAAAGAUAAGUACAAGUAGCCCAAAUGUGCAGAUGAACGAUACUGAUAUUGUUAUGCUAAAACAAAUAUUCUGAAUGUCGGGUGAAAGUUGGACGUAACCAGUCGUGCCUAGCCAUUGAACCGCUACGGAAGUUAUAGGGUCGCUCCUUAUGGCUCAGACCGUGGUAGGCUAUCGGUCAAUAAGUUGCGUACAAUCGAAGUAGAGCGAAGGCUCAUUUGAUAGAUUGUUUAAAG
rnacentral:ncRNA from 1 species